CUUCACGAAAAAUUUCUCCCUCAAGCUGCUUCUUCAUUUCUCGUCGGCGCUUUUGAUCGUUAAACACACUACGUCAUGUCCGCCGCCGUGAGAACAGUCUUCCGUUCCGCCUCUACAUCCGCUCGCAGUGCCACGGCGAGACUAUCCACCUCCAUUUUCAGGUCUCCUGUAGAGACGAGCAGUUUUAGCGAUGCUUCGAUUUCGCCGCACCGCGGUCAAUUCGGGAAUAUAGAUGGAAGAAACUUCUCAACGAAGACGAGGAGAUUUUGAUUUCAGCGCAGAAUCGAUCUGAAACGAAGCACUUCGGCCACUGGAAUCGUGGAAAGGAUAGAGUACGAUCCUAAUCGAACUUCUCGGAUUGCUCUCAAACAUGUUUGGUUCCGAUCCAGGAUCGCAGGCAAGCUGGAAAGCAAAUACGAGGUGUCAUAAGCUCUACUUAUAAGGGCCUCCACUAUGGGAGGUCCUUAUGCCCAUGUGGCAAAGAUAGAACCUGGUAGCACCAUAGUGAGGAGCAAAAAAUAAGAACCCAACAAGGAAAUGGGUACCAAGGCAGGAACUCGGUUCUUGGCAAUGAUGGUGGGACCUCCCUCUUGAAAAAAAUGGCUGCCAACAUUCUCUCUCCUCACCUUUUUCGCUUUUUCUCAUUUUCGUUUUUUUUCUUUUUUCAUUCUUUUUAGUUUUUCUUUCAUAUUUUGUUCUAGCUACAACCAUAUUUUGAACUUAAGAUGUUGUGUGUAUUUAAAUUUAUGUUUUUAAUUUUAGUUGUGUGUUGUAAGAAAUUAAUUUUCAAGAAAAUGCGCGUUUGAAUUUUAA